rnacentral:rRNA from 1 species
UACGGAGGGGGCUAGCGUUGUUCGGAAUUACUGGGCGUAAAGGGCGCGUAGGCGGACCACCAAGUCGGGGGUGAAAUCUUUCAGCUCAACUGGAAAAGAGCUUCCGAUACUGGUGGUCUCGAGGGAGGUAGGGGUCGAGGGAACUAAUGGUGGAGCGGUGAAAUGCGUAGAUAUCAUUAGGAACGCCGGUGGCGAAAGCGCUCGACUGGACCUCUUCUGACGCUGAGGCGCGAAAGCCAGGGGAGCAAACGGG